CUCAGAAUCACCAAGAACGAAGCGCUCGAAAGUAGUUGAGUUUGGCACCUAAAAGGCAGUCCCUGCCCCUGUUACAUUCCUCUUUUCAUUCCUCAUAUGGGCCUUGAACAAGAAAAUCAAAGCCAAGUAGUCUUUCACGCACGCGCACAUCACAUACAUACGAAUUCGGGAGAGGAUUGUUAGCACUUGUCUAGCUUCGCUGCACUCCCGCACCCACGCACCGUCUCGCCCGACUCUCAGUGCCUUCUCUUUUUUGCGCUACCCGUUCGUUCUUCACGCGAAGCACUCUGAUCACCGACUCUUCACUUCGAGUCUUCCCUAUACUCGCUGAUCCAAGCACACGGAAGCACGUACAAACGCUCGGGCCUCAGUAGCCGCUGAACAUCGGCGUUGUCUUCAGAAAUUACUCCUGGGACGUGUGCACAGCGACACACCCCUGCUCCCCUCCAGUAUCACACAAGACGUGCGCUGCCACUGGAGGAGCUUAGGUGGGUAACGUAUCGUUCGAACUGUUUGCGCGCCUCUCUGUACACCCACCGCGUCUCCCUCGUUUUGGAAUCGUGGUGCUAAGGUGCUCGACGCGAACGCAAAGGGGGCGUUUGCCAGCUCGCCGCUUCUCUUGGACGCCUGCUUCCUUCGCGCGUUCGAGCGCAACACACUUUUGCUCUCAUCAGACAGCCGUUGGUGUGAUUUGCCUUCAAUAUCUUGGCCACCGCUGAGUACGCACGCACGCAUCCCACGGCUAAGGUGGCAAUACUACCUCCCCCCCACCACACACACACAUAUACACACAAAAGAAACAAAAGCGCGUACCCUUUCCAUCAAACAGGCAAGCGAAGCUGCGCAGGUCCCACGCUCGCCUUCCAUCUUCCCCCUCCCCCUUCUUUUUCGCCUCACAGCGCAGACCUUCAGAUAGAGGUUUUCCUCGGUUCUUUUCUACCACACACGCCCUCUCCCUUUUCAUCCGAUGACCGAGGUUCUCAAGAAGCAGCUGGCUGAUGCCAAGGCGGCGUUCUAUGCCGGUAACUAUGCUGACGCGGAGAAGGUGCUGCGGGCAAUGCCGCAGGAAGACAUGAAGGUGCAGCACAACUUAGUGAUUGCCCGCUACCUGCAGCACCAGCUGACGAGUGAGCAGGCUUUGGCAGCUCUGCGCGCCAGCGCCGAGGGCACCGGCGAGGACCCUAACAUCAAGGCACCAGGCCUGAUGCUGCAGUACGAGGGCCACGAGACGGCGGUCUACAACCAGGCCGUCCUCUACGCCCGCAGCGGUCAAGCACAUGAGGCAAUGCUCCUGCUGCGCCGCAUUCUAGAGAACGCGCAGGACAUAGCCUUGUCGACCUUGGUGUACAGCCUCUGCCUGUUCCACACCCUCACGAAGCCGGUGCGCAAGAUCACAAGCCGUAUGUCGAGCCGGCACGACGAGGAGCUAGUGCAGAGCGUGCUCACGUCCAGCAUGGAGAAGCUGCGUGUGGUGCCAGAGUUGAUGAAAUUGGUGGAGACAGCCUUUGCCGAUUCCAGCGGACUCCACGACGUCUUCGCGAACGCAGAAAAUGAUCAGGCGAAGCAGGCGGUCUAUCUCAACAACCUAGGCGUUUUUUCCCUCUUGGAGGACAAGCUUAAUGUGGCGAGUCUGUGCUUCGCCAAGGCGGAGAAGACGGCCGCGUCGAAGCCAGCGGGGCAGCAUAUCCUUCGACCGAUUCAGUACAACGUCGGGUUGUGUGCACUGCUGCGGGAGGACUACGAAGGCGCGCUACAUGAGUUCCUUGCUGUGCAGGACUCGAUGAAGGCGUCUGCUGUCUUCUGGGUGCGCUGCGCGGAGGCGGCAGUGUCGUGUGUGCAGCAGGAAACCCGCAAGCAGCGCCGCGCUGACUACGAGCGACAGCAGAACACCUUCAGCGCGAUGCUGCAGAGCGGCAAGGUGUACUCGAACUUCGAGUUUAUGCUGCUGCCAAGUGCGACGAGCGUGCCUGGGCCGGCGGCUGUCGAGUCAUCGAGAGAGCCGACGGAGAAGGUCGCCCUGGAGCAGAUUGCCACGGUGGCCGUGCAGAAUGCCCUCUUCCUGCUAGUACCCAAGGGCCACACAUUCAGUAGCGUGGUAGAGGCGUUCCCCCACGAAGAGGCCCUUCUGCAGUACGCCAUGCUGUACUGGGUGGCCCUCGAGCUGAGCCGCCGCAACUACAUGGCGGCGGCAGAAGCCGGCCAGGAGCUGCUGAAUGCCCAUGAACGCCAUCCGCUGCCGUCGAACCUACAUGCCACACUGCUCAUCUACGUAGUGGAGGCCCUCGUGCACCUCAACGACCAGGACCGGGCAAUGAAAAUUCUUCGGCGGACAUCGCUCUCAUCUCUGGUCACGGGGUCCAGCAGCGACCCGCUCGACGCGGCGCAGCGUAGCCGCGUAGAGGCACUUUUCGUGAACCUGACCAUCUCGCACAUCCUGACAGGUUCGUGGAACCAGGCGCACUCAAUCAUGGAAUCGCUGCUGCGCAAGAUCUACGAAGCGGCCCCGGCCGGCACUGCAGAGUACACGCCAGAGCGCGACACAAUGUUCGCGUACUGCAUCUUGGAGGUCUUCCUUGAGCUGGCGCAGGGCAACCAAGAAAAGGCUGCAGAGUGGAUGCUCAAGAUUACAUGGGGCAUCUAAGGGUAAGUGGGUCUCAUGAGGUCGUCGUCUUCUGAGCUGUGCUUGCUUGUGGCGAGCUCUUGCCGCUGCGCUUCUUUUUUACGCUUAUGCCUCCAACCCUCCAUUACGAGACGCGAGCCCGACCACUUGCGCAGGCUGGCAAGGCAAGCUGACAUGGGCUAUCGUAGCGCAAGCAGAAUGCAGAUUUUUUAUCUACUGCAUGAGCAGACGCCUGCAAUCACCGUCUGACGCAAGAUCCCUCCCUCCCCUCUCUCUCUCCCCUCCUCCCAGGCGCGCACACAUGUUGGAGAGCACGUCGCCCUGCCUGCCCGCAUUCCUCUUCGUCGACUCCCUCGCUUUUUUUUUCACGAGGCGCACGCGCAGCGGGGGAUCAUUUUGAAAGCGCUUCUUUUUAUCUUCGUCUUUGAAGAGUUUCGCCUUCCCUACCUCUCUACGAGUAUGCGUUCGUGUAACGUGUGUACAGCGCCUGUCUUCCGAGAGGUCUUCGUUUUCCAACGUUGCCGCGUUUUGUCCUUCUUGUGCUGAGUGCUCGUCAUGUGUGUGUGUGUGUGUGUGUGCCUGUUCUGAUGAUUGGGGGUGAAGGGAAGGGCGAAAAGGCUGUGCUGGGCUGUGCGCCACCUGUGUGUGUUUGCGGUCUGAUUCAGGGGUAUGCAUGCGUUCCUCGCAGGAGAAACACGCGGGUGCGGUUGCGUGCGUGACCAGAGAGCUCGUUAAGCAUGCUUUGUGAGAUUCAAUAGUCGUCGAAUGUUGCCUUUUUGUCGUUGAAGCUGGUAUUGCUGUCCGUGUUCUUGUUGUUAACCUCUUCCUGACCCUCCCCCUCCCUUUCAGCUCGGUCCCUUCUCUGUAGCUGUUUCACCUCUCAUUUUUUCCGGAGUUGUGCCUUGUAGAGAGAGGAGGGUGGUGGGGCCGUCAUGGUCGACGGGCUCUUCUAUCUCCGGUUGUGGCUGCCGGUGUGCACUAAUAAUUCUUCUACCCGCUGCGUGCGCUGAGUGUCUUCUCGUUCUUUUUUGUUCAAUUAUUUUCGCUGUUAUCCACAUUCUGUUUUGUCUGCGUUUUCUUCGCCUUUUGUGUGUGUGUGUGUGCGUGUCGGUGUGUUGCGGAGUCCUUUCCUCUUUCCACGUUUUGUUGUUGUCAGUUCUCUGCCGUUUGUUCGUGUUGUCGUUUGCCUUCGCGCGUGUGCGUGUGUGUGGGUAGGCGCAUAGAUGUUUGUUGUUUCGGUGACGCAUGCAACUCCACUCCCUGCCCUCGUGGAUAUUCCAUUAACAAAGAAAAGC
rnacentral:misc_RNA from 1 species